CUGAGUGGGUAUGGGUAAACCUUAACGUAGAGCGCCACUGCCGCCGCAACGUCAGUGCCGCAGGACAUCCCGGAUGUCGACCACUCAUCGGCCUGACACUGCAGCUGCAAGAAUAAUUGCAGAAUAAGAGCCAGCUACUUUAGUGCCCAGGAGGGUGAAGUAUACAAUGAGAUUUAAAGCUGGAACGAAACAUCCAGCAGCUAAACCGCAGUCCGAGUCACAAGGAGCAGUUGUUUCAGCUGCUCUUUCUGAAGUGGUUGAUGCUUUAUUUUUGAGUGUCUGCCGGGUUGUCCUGCCCAGCUAGGAGGCAGUCUUGUCCUGCCGGGGCUCCGCCCUGCCGUAUGAGGUUUACCCUGCUUCUGCGGGCUCCGCCCUGAAGCGGAGUCCCUCUGUUGUACCAGGUUGCCUCGGCAACGGCAGGCUGUGUCAGCAAUGGGCGUGUACCUCAGUAGGGGCUGAUUGCCUCGGUAAUGGCGGACGCCUUUCCUGCACGGAGCUGCACCUUAAGGUAAAUACGUGGGUGAAGUGCCAUGGUGCACUACCGGGCAGACCUCCCCAAAUGGCAAGGGCAGAGCACUGGCUUUCCUGUCACUAUCAGGGAUGUGGUCAACACAAGAAUAUUUUUCCAAAGAAACUCCAGCAAGAAGAGGACCUGUCACAUGGCCAUAGAUUUCCUCCAACUAUCUCCCAUUGCACACACCUAAUUGGAAGUGGAAGUCAAGGCAGCUCCAGGGAUGCCAUGGCAGGCAUCAGAGCAAAGUAG
rnacentral:lncRNA from 1 species